rnacentral:misc_RNA from 1 species
GAUGAAGAACGUAGCGAAAUGCGAUACGUAAUGUGAAUUGCAGAAUUCAGUGAAUCAUCGAGUCUUUGAACGCACAUUGCGCCCCCUGGUAUUCCGGGGGGCAUGCCUGUCCGAGCGUCAUUGCUGCCCUCAAGCACGGCUUGUGUGUUGGGCCUCCGUCCUCCUCCCGGGGGACGGGCCCGAAAGGCAGCGGCGGCACCGCGUCCGGUCCUCGAGCGUAUGGGGCUUCGUCACCCGCUCUUGUAGGCCCGGCCGGCGCUUGCCGACACAUCAAUCUUUUUUCCAGGUUGACCUCGGAUCAGGUAGGGGUACCCGCUGAACUUAAGCAUAUCAUAAGCGGAGGA